rnacentral:lncRNA from 1 species
AUGAUUUUUGAGGUCUACAGUUCAAAUCGACUCAAAAAUCAAUUCGAGCCGACUUGACGUUAUCUGACAAGUAUAACGGCUAGUUCUGCAGAAGCCCAUUUUCAUUCAGAAAAAAUUUUUAACAACUAUUUUCUACCUCCAACGAUAAAAAAUGGCUAGUAUUAAAUUCAAAUCAAUCAGAGCUUGGAGGAAAUGAAUAAGAAAUAAAAAAAGUAAGAAAAUGAAAGAAAAGCACUGUUCAUAGCAAAAAGAGCACUUUGAGCAUUUAAUAGUCUUCAAGAGAGUUCACCUACUUUCAAUAACUUUUUUUUUAAUUUUUUGAGUGCAUUCA